UCAUGGGCUAGGGGGGGAGUUGACGUACCCUGUUUCCACAAAUCGUCAAUACUGGUGGCCCGAAGUCUGAGGGCGGCACAAACGAGCCGUCGGCGAACACUGGGGGGACGACGAUGCUUCGACCCCGAGAGAUCCAGGUUGGCCCGACCCACCUCCGGAGGGAUGUGGUGAUGGCCUCGACCCGGGAACCAGGUCAGGCGCGGAAGCGAACAGCCCGACCGGGAGCCAUGGAUGCCUCGGGAAUUCGGAGCGGAGGAACCCUAGGCUAACGCUGGCGAUGACGCGUGUCCACCGAUGACAUGCCCACUC
rfam:Euryarchaeota archaeon TMED255 41056, whole genome shotgun sequence.